rnacentral:rRNA from 1 species
ACUCCUACGGGAGGCAGCAGUGGGGAAUAUUGCACAAUGGGGGAAAGCCCUGAUGCAGCCAUGCCGCGUGUGUGAAGAAGGCCUUCGGGUUGUAAAGCACUUUCAGUAGGGAGGAAGGUAGUGUAGUUAACACCUGCACUAUUUGACGUUACCUACAGAAGAAGCACCGGCUAACUCCGUGCCAGCAGCCGCGGUAAUACGUAGGGUGCAAGCGUUGUCCGGAUUUAUUGGGUUUAAAGGGUGCGUAGGCGGGCUAUUAAGUCAGUGGUGAAAUCCAGCAGCUUAACUGUUGAUGUGCCAUUGAUACUGGUAGUCUUGAGUACAGAUGAGUAGGCGGAAUUGACAGUGUAGCGGUGAAAUGCAUAGAUAUUGUCAAGAACUCCGAUAGCGAAGGCAGCUUACUGGGCUGUAACUGACGCUGAUGCACGAAAGUGUGGGGAUCAAACAGGAUUAGAUACCCUGGUAGCUACGAGU